rnacentral:rRNA from 1 species
AACGAACGCUGGCGGCAGGCUUAACACAUGCAAGUCGAACGCCCCGCAAGGGGAGUGGCAGACGGGUGAGUAACGCGUGGGAAUCUACCGUACCCUACGGAAUAACGCAUGGAAACGUGUGCUAAUACCGUAUACGCCCUACGGGGGAAAGAUUUAACGGGGUAUGAUGAGCCCGCGUUGGAUUAGCUAGUUGGUGGGGUAGAGGCUUGCCAAGGCGAAAAUCCAUAGCUGGUCUGAGAGGAUGAUCUGCCACAUUAGGACUGAGACACGGCCCAAACUCCUACGGGAGGCAGCAGUGGGGAAUAUUGGACAAUGGGCGCAAGCCUGAUCCAGCCAUGCCGCGUGAGUGAUGAAGGUCUUAGGAUUGUAAAGCUCUUUCACCGGAGAAGAUAAUGACGGUAUCCGGAGAAGAAGCCCCGGCUAACUUCGUGCCAGCCGCCGCCGUAACAC